ensembl:lncRNA
UGUGUGUGUGUGUGUGUGUGUGUGUGUGUGUGUAUACGUGUGUACGUGUGUUCAUUGCAUCAAAGAAGAGCUGCUCCCUGCCGGGGACAACAAGGAACACACAGUGGUGUGUGAGAGCUGAUACCGAGCUCUGGAGAUAUAAAUAGGACCUCCCUGCAACAAGGCUCCCACCAGCAGCACUGAUAACUCUCCGCGUGUUGUGUAAGCAGUCUAUGUGCGUCUUUGUAGAUUUUAAUUAAUUAUUUUCCAGAGAAAUUACUUUCUCAAUGACUUUUAAAAAAAACUCUUAUCAGCGGCGAACGUCAUGGCCCGCUCAUCCCCCCCCAUGUGUUCUCAGGUUGAUGAGAGGUUUUAAAAAAAAAAAAAAAACACUCACGAGUCAUGGGGUUACUCGCGCUGACAAGAUCAAUUCACGUGUGUCCCUCACGCAUCCGGCUUCCUUCCUGCUUGCUUACAGAUCGGCUUGAGGCAGUCCCCCCCCCCCCUGAAGAAACAGAGAAAAGUUCCACUUUUGGCGUCAGGAGCAACAAACUGCGCUCUGCAUUUUUGUUAUGUCGUGUCCUGACUUUGUAUAUGGCUGAUAUCCAUUUUAUAACCCAUCUGGGUCUCAACAUUGAUCUUAACUUACAUUUUAAAGCUGCAGAGGAGCCAACCUGCCUGACGUCCUUAGUGCACCUCAUCAUCUAAAUCAUUCCGAUCAGCUUUAAAAACUAUUUGACGAUAACUCCGUUGCUUGACUAAUGGAGUAAGUGAUGAGGUCCUGUCAGAGGUAGGGAUGAGGUGGGGGGGGGGGGGUCUCCGCUUUCUAAAUAUCACCUCACCUGUUUCAAGCUGCUGUUGAGGCCUCCCCAUGUUCUUCCAGCACCUGUUUGAUUCUGGUGACGACUAACUGUUGUACAGGUCUUUUUGCCAUUUUAGGUAACCGGUUCUAUUAUUUCAGGAAAAGGCGCAACGCACACUAGUAGUAUUUGUAUGCUUUUUUUCUUCUAGCACACAAUCUUGCAAUCUCACAGACUUCUCAGGCUGCUUGUGGCGUUGACGCUGCAGCAAAAAGCUGUGUCAGGUGUUUUGUGGAGCGCCUGAGAGGGAUUAAGAAAAGGUGUGUGUGUGUGUGUCAGAGUGAAGGCUGUAGCCAUUCAGGAUGAGCACAGGGGAGUGAUGAGUGAGGAAGACCAAGACACAAGGGAAUGCAAUAAAUUCAUUGUGCAGGAACAAACAAAGUGCCAAGUCGGGGCUAGAGGCCCUUGAUGAGAACAAAGAAAGGAGACUCACACCUUUGUUAGUCCUCUUUUGUUUCCCCCUCACAACGGGAACGUCACACUACAGGUCAAGGAGGAGCCAAGCCAGAUCCUGGAGAUCUGGGGAGAAAGUGAAAACCAU